CAAUAGCGUAUAUUUAAGUUGCUGCAGUUAAAAAGCUCGUAGUUGGAUUUCGGGUGGGAAUGGCCGGUCCGCCGUUUCGGUGUGCACUUGCUACGCCCACCUUGCUGCCGGGGACGUGCUCUUGAGUUCACGCUCGGGACACGGAGUCGGCGAGGUUACUUUGAGUAAAUUAGAGUGUUCAAAGCAGGCCUACGCUCUGAAUACAUUAGCAUGGAAUAACACGAUAGGACUCUGGCCUAUCUUGUUGGUCUGUAGGACCGGAGUAAUGAUUAGGAGGGACAGUCGGGGGCAUUCGUAUUUCAUUGUCAGAGGUGAAAUUCUUGGAUUUAUGAAAGACGAACUACUGCGAAAGCAUUUGCCAAGGAUGUUUUCAUUAA
rnacentral:rRNA from 1 species